CCUUUACAGAGGACAGCCCUCUAUUUGAAGGGCUGUCCAGUCCAAGUCAGAUUUAAAGAUAAAGAACCAUCAGAAGGAAGACAGCUGAGCCCUAAAGUUGUCCAUCAACCUUUAGCUCCUGGCCAGCAGACUGAGCAGGCAGACAGGUCACAGUCUUCCCCACCAUGAUGAGAAGGAAACAAAUACUUGAUAUUUCAGAAUCAUGUCCUUCACAAAUUUCCUGCCCUACAUAUAUCGGUUUUCCCUGGUGUAUGAACAACUGUGGAGACUCUUUAUGAAGAUCAGGCAGGACGCCAAGGAUCGUCAGCAUUUCUCCCUUGCUCCUGGCUGGGGCUGGCUGAAAGCCCUGGCACACUGGUGGCAUGAAACACAGGCAACAGUUUC